rnacentral:rRNA from 1 species
GUAGGGAAUAUUGCGCAAUGGGGGAAACCCUGACGCAGCAACGCCGCGUGAGUGAGGAAGGUCUUCGGAUUGUAAAACUCUUUUAUUAGGGAAAAAUGUCUAGGUGGCUAAUAUCCACUUAGAGUGAUGGUACCUAAGGAAUAAGCACCGGCUAACUUCGUGCCAGCAGCCGCGGUAAUACGAAGGGUGCAAGCGUUGUUCGGAAUCAUUGGGCGUAAAGCGCGCGCAGGCGGGUCAGUAAGUCAGGUGUGAAAUCUCGGAGCUCAACUCCGAAACUGCGCCUGAAACUAUUGGUCUAGAGUAUCGGAGGGGAGAGGGGAAUUUCACGUGUAGGGGUAAAAUCCGUAGAGAUGUGAAGGAACACCGGAGGCGAAGGCGCCUGUCUGGACGAUUACUGACGCUGAGGCGCGAAAGCGUGGGGAGCAAACAGGAUUAGAUACCCGAGUAGUCC